GACGAACGCUGGCGGCGUGCUUAACACAUGCAAGUCGAACGAUGAACUGGGUGCUUGCACCUGGGGAUUAGUGGCGAACGGGUGAGUAACACGUGAGUAACCUGCCCUGGACUCUGGGAUAACCCCGAGAAAUCGGAGCUAAUACCGGAUAGGACCCUGUACCGCAUGGUGUGGGGUGGAAAGUUUUUCGGUCUGGGAUGGACUCGCGGCCUAUCAGCUUGUUGGUGAGGUAAUGGCUCACCAAGGCGUCGACGGGUAGCCGGCCUGAGAGGGUGACCGGCCACACUCGGACUGAGACACGGCCCAGACUCCUACGGGAGGCAGCAGUGGGGAAUAUUGCACAAUGGGCGCAAGCCUGAUGCAGCAACGCCGCGUGCGGGAUAACGGCCUUCGGGUUGUAAACCGCUUUUGGUAAGGAAGAAGGGGAGCUUGCUCCUUGACGGUACUUGCAGAAAAAGGACCGGCUAACUACGUGCCAGCCGCCGCAGUAAAAC
rnacentral:rRNA from 1 species